rnacentral:rRNA from 1 species
AUGGGUUCCUUAUUCUCUUCCCCUGCCCGCGGCGACGGCGGCGCCGCUAUCUUUGAUUACGCCAACCCUCCCCCAGGCAGCCGUAUGUCAAAAGAAGAUAUCGUCGCCCACCGAAUUUCUCAGCUUGUCGACGUCGCCCUUGAACAUUACAACUCCAACAACCCGGGUGCCGAGUUCGAGUAUCCGGGGUAUCCUCCCACCACGGACAUGAACGCCGUCUGCGUCGGUUUUAGGGGAACUUUCUGGUACCACCUCGGCUUUUCGGCUCGCCCAGUGGACGCCACCGCCGAGACGCAACACUUCUUUGCCGAGCUAUAUUUUGAUAGACGCUUCUGCCAAAUAACCGUUGAAACAUGCACUAUCUUAGAAAAGCCGCUGUGCCGCUUUAGAGCCUCGUGUGCAUUUUGUCCAGAUGAAUCCAAUAUCUUGCACCCAAGCAGUGCAGAAUUUUUCUAUGGAAAACAAGAUCACGAAAAAGAAUUCUUUCGCAAGAGAGAUAUGCUAGUGCGGCCAUUCAAUUCUUUUAUAACACCUCCUGAUAUAGAUAGCACCGACGAUCCAUGA